UACAGAGGGUGCGAGCGUUGUUCGGAAUUAUUGGGCGUAAAGGGCGCGUAGGCGGUGCGGUAAGUCACCUGUGAAACCUCUAGGCUUAACCUAGAGCCUGCAGGCGAAACUGCCGUGCUGGAGUGUGGGAGAGGUGCGUGGAGUUCCCGGUGUAGCGGUGAAAUGCGUAGAUAUCGGGAGGAACACCUGUGGCGAAAGCGACUUCCUGGUCCAAUACUGACGUUCAUGUGCGAAAGCGUGGGGAGCAAACAGG
rnacentral:rRNA from 1 species